CAGGCCUCAGUGGGUGUUUGAUGAAUGCCUGCUUUCAUUAUUUCUGCACCAGUGCGAUUUAUCUGCCUCUCUUCUUGACGUUUGCUCCAUUCCCCAGACCCAACAUUCAUCUCUUUCUUGGACUAAAGUUCAGUUUUACCUAGCCUCAAAAGUCAAUUCUGCUUUCAAGUCCAGCCAUAGAUCCUGGGUUCUGUGACCCCAGGCAGUACCCUGCAGGGUCAGCUCCCCUAUUGACCCCUCAGGGAUACUGAGGCAGCCCCUCCCAUCUGGCUCAACUCGGCUUUGAAGUUGAGACCCUGACACCCCUCAGCAGGCACUGUCCUUUGAGUUAUCCUUCCAGGGGAGAUGGUUGGCUAUGCACAGUCAUUCAUUUCUUGCCAAAAUCUUUUAAAUUGUUUCUGGCCUGGGUUAAGGGGAAAAAGAAGUGAAUGUGCUGGAAAAGAACCUUUUUUCAUGCUCUGUAUGAGUUCAUUAGCUCUGUUCUUAAAUCAAGUGAGAUAUCCAGUAAAGAAGGUCUUAGAUAAAACAUGAGGUGGUGAAUCCUGCCUCCUGGGCCCCCUCCCUGGGACUUUCUCUGUAGCACACAUGCCUCUUGGUGCCAUACCAGUUUCCUAAUAUUUUUACACUCUCUGCUUCUUUUCCUCGAUCAAAAUGUUCUCAAGGAAGGCUUUUAGGGAUUCAUGUCUACUCAGUGGUAAAGGACCAUUACUAACGUUACAGUAGUUAGUAUUGCAAUAGCGGAUAAAGCUUAAAGUCAAAGGAAUUAAUCUUUAAUUGUGAGAGUUUGAACAUCGAUGCCAAACUGAUGUUGGAUUGAGGGGAGGGUGGGGUGAGGGUGACAGAGUCUCACCAUUAGUGAGAUAAUUAGUGCCUCAUUUCUCAUCAUGGAUGUUGACCACUGACUCUGCUCCUGGAGAAGCCUGCUUCAGAACUAACCAGCAAACACCAAGGGCCUACACUGUGCUCAGCCCACUGAAAUGUGGCAUGGGGUGAAGUUUGUGAGCUCCAACCUGCUAGCAUUUCUUCUUUACGGAAUCAGAUGGAGGUGGUUCUGGGCCAGAGACAAAUCUAAGGGAAAGAAUUGCUGUUUCUCCUGCACGGCAGAGGAGCGGCUGCUGGGUAAGCAGCCCUUUCUGGCUGUCUCUCUCCAGGUGAGGUGAAUCAUCUCUCUGGAGGCUCCCUGAGCUCUCAGGUGACAUCACCAUUGCAAAAUCUAAGAUUGGUACUUGAGGUAUUUUUCAGACUGCAUUCCAAUGAACAAGCUGGUGCCACCUGGACUGGUACCCCAUACCAUGAAACUGGCUCAUCUGACCUUGCAAUCCCACCCAGGAACUGACAGAGUGUAAGAAGACAGCUAUGAUUUUAUCCCUAACCCAACCAAUCAGCAUUCCCCAUUCCCUAGUCCCCUGCCUUGAGAAACCCUAGCCUCUGAAUUCUCAGGGAGACUGAUUUGAGUCAUAAACUCCCAUUUGCCACUUGGCUAGUCCUGUGAUAAUUAAACUCUUUCUCUACUGUAAUACUGCUGUCUCAGAAGAUUGGUUUUAUCUGUGCAGCAGGCAGGAUGAACCCAUUGGGCAAUUAUAAUAAAGCAAAUGCCAAGGGGCAAUUGGCC
rnacentral:lncRNA from 10 species